AUUGAACGCUGGCGGCAGGCCUAACACAUGCAAGUCGAGCGGAAACGAAGGGAGCUUGCUCCCAGGCGUCGAGCGGCGGACGGGUGAGUAACACGUGAGAAUCUGCCCAUUAGUGGGGGACAACUCGGGGAAACUCGAGCUAAUACCGCAUAAUCCCUACGGGGGAAAGCAGGGGACCUUUUGGCCUUGCGCCGAUGGAUGAGCGCACGUCGGAUUAGCUUGUUGGUGAGGUAAAGGCUAACCAAGGCGACGAUACGUAGCUGGGCUGGGAGGAUGAGCAGCCACACUGGGACUGAGACACGGCCCAGACUCCUACGGGAGGCAGCAGUGGGGAAUCUUGGACAAUGGGGGCAACCCUGAUCCAGCCAUGCCGCGUGUGUGAAGAAGGCCUUCGGGUUGUAAAGCACUUUCAGCAGGGAGGAAGGCUUUGGCCGAAUAGGUGGAAGUACUUGACGUUACCUGCAGAAGAAGCACCGGCUAAUUUCGUGCCAGCCGCCGCCGUAA
rnacentral:rRNA from 1 species